CAAGAAGAAUCAUGAAUUUAUAAAAUAGGUAUGAAACUAACAUUUUCAUUUAUUUCAUAAUUUAUUUACUAUUUAUUACUUUAUUUAUUUCUUAAUAUCAUUAUUUUGCCAUUAUUUAACAUUUGUUUUAUUUUUUAGUUAUUUAAAUUUAUUUCUUCUCUCAGUUGAUUACUAGUUUGUUUAUUAAUAUUACGUAAACAUUCAUUCAUUCAAAAAUAUUUGUAGGAGGGCAAAACAAAAACAAGUCACAUUUAUACAUUUUAUUACACAUACUAUCAUACAUAUUACCACACAUAUUAUCACACACGGUAUUUACUCGCCCACAGUUCUGUCCAGCCAGGCCACUGCUCCCCGGGUGUUGUAGUAGUCCAUGAGGUAGGCUCGGAUAUUCUUGGGGUUUACCAGCUCUUGGGUUCCGCAGAGGGUCGAGUGGGACGAUUUGAUCGCCCUCUCGCCAUUCCCCUGGAACAAGUUGCGAGAGACGAGGUGGGCUCUUCAGCGGUCGGUGAAGAAGUGUGUUGCACCUUCUUCUUCUUCAUACGAUUUAUCCCCUAAAAAGGGGGACAGGGCCUUUGCACCUAGGAUUCCCGUGCUUUUAUAUGCCACAUGGGCAUCAGAUGAUCAGCUGUCAGAAAUCUUGGCACUGUCGGAGAAUUGUCCCCGACAUGUCGCCGACACUUCGGGGACAUACGAAGACAAUUCGGAGACUUGUCGCCAAUUAUUCCGCGACAAAAAAAAAAAAAACGUUAAAAUUUCAGAUUUUGAACUCGGCGACAUGGACGCCGAAUAAUCGGCGACAUGUCUCCGAAUUGUCCCCGAAUUGUCCGGAGCACUCGCCGACAUGUCGCCGAAUGGCCACGAACUAUAAGAAUCUUGGUCAUGUCGGCGAACCGGUCGCCGAAUUUUUUCACGAACUGAUUCGGCGACAAGUUCAUGGCCAAAAUUUGGCAGUGUAUUUGGGGCUUAAGAAUCCAAGCGGUACUAAUACCGGAAAUGGUACCGUUAUAGUCUUCCGAUACUUUGAGCGGGGCCCAGUACCGAUAGUGUCAUGAGCUCUCGGUACCACAGAGUUAUAUACAUAGACAAUGAACCCUAUACUAUGGAACGGACACUUGCCCCAGCAUUGUCAUUAAGCCGCGAAUUUUGGAAAAUCAACCGCUUAGAUGAGAAUCGCCAUUACUCCCUUAUUUCAGGGGCUACAGAAAAGUUUUUGGUAUCAAUCGACGGCAAAGUGAAAGGGCGAUAUUUUUUUUAAUUAGCGACCGGCUCGAAAACCGAUUUGAAAGGUAAAAAAAUCGAAUAAAUUUGCAAAAAGGGACUCUGAAAAAAAACUUUUUGAGUUCCCAACCUUGAAACCCGCUCAUUUUUUGAGAAUUUCAAAAACUUUAUUUAUUAAAUGAUUUAGCCCUGCCAAUGUGCUUUCCAAUAUGGUGCAUAACAUUUCCCUACUCCCAGUAGUUUCGUCGCUAGAGCUCGAAACGUAAACCCUGUCGAGAGCGAUUUUGACGAACUCCAGACACUUUACCGUUUUUGUCUAGUGUGGCCCUACUAUUGCCUCUAGAAGGCUGUAAUGUGGCAUGUAGCCCCUCUUGGCAAUGAAGUUUGACCAAUAUAUAUAUAUAUAUAUAUAUAUAUAUAUAUAUAUAUAUAUAUAUAUAUAUAUAUAUAUAAAAACUUGUGUACUUUUGUCGGUAGUCCCAAUAUAAGUCUGCAGCGGCAGCUGCUAUUAAGCGAGUCUGUUAUCAUUCCCACCCUUUUUUUAUAACUUAAUAGAAGUUUAUAAAGUUUAUACAAAUACUUUUGAACUUGAAUAAAAUAUAACAUAUACUGGACGUAAUUUAUAGACAAUUAUUUCAUUAAAAUGACACAAUAGGUAUCAACAUACUUCAAACUCUAUAGCGCACAAUAUAUAUUAACUUUAUAGUAUUAUUCUGUUCAUAUGUUUCAUAUAUUAUUAGUUUUUAUGUAAUCACACAUUGUAUUAUUCAUAAAUGGGAAGAAAUAUGAUUGAAUACUAAAAAAAAAAAAAGAAAUAACACCAGUGGAUGGGAGGAUAGGCGUAACACUAGAAUAUGAGAGGCUAAUUUUUUUCUCCGCUGAAGCUAAUCCCUGACCUAUGAUUUGUGUUUCUUUCUUUUCUUGUUCGCUAUUGCUUUCAAUUUACUUGCGAGAACAACUAUUGCAGUCUCCAUCGUAACAGUGAGGCGAUCGAGGCCAUUCUUAUCGGUGUUGAAAGGUCAGGCAAAUCCUGUUAUUUUAAAAAGAAAUAUAAUAUGUAAACAUCCAUUUAGUAUGUCAGUUACAAUUAUGUCUCAGUAGAAUAUUUUUUCUAGAGUCCAUCCAUAGGACAAUUUAUGUAGGUAUAAAUAACACCGUUUCGAAGACGACCAGCGCUGACUCGGUGACUCUGAGCCGACCAACGCGUGGCGGUAAACAACGCGGCCGCAGGAGCGUGACCUCGGAAGUGUGCGUGCGUUUGUGUGUGUUUGUGUGUGGAAAGGAUAUGUCUUGCGGCCCACACGACAGAGUUAGCCUUCAGAAUACAUCGCCUGGGAGGAGACAAACUGGUGGCGGGCCAAGUGGAAUAUGAGUCAUGUUGAGUCGGGAUGUCACAAGUACGGUGCCGUGCCGCGCCUUGUCGGCAGGACGCGGUGGACUGACCCUCGCUGAGCCUUUACUGCUACCCUCCAGUCACCCCCUCCACACAACCACCACCACCACCACUCCCGACCUGAGGCGACUAGUACCAUUAUAACUACGACCAUCACACCUCCCCGCUGAAGUGAAAGCUGGAAGACAACUUCUCCUGAACAGCGGCGAAGGAUGCAGUCGAAAAGUAUGGGGAGUCACUGGGUGGUAUGUAGCAAAAUGCAAAAAACAAACGAGACAUACUUCCAAAUCUUAACCAUACCUGGUGACCGAUACUAAGAUUCACGUCCUGCACCAAAUGGGCGAGGCAGUUCCUGACACACACCACCACACCCCCACGCUCCGCUGACCCGACCACUCGACUGCGGUACGACACGUAGCCGGGGACACACACAGACUGCCCUGUCUUUACCUCAGUAAGACAUAAUUAUUACAUCAUAGCACAAUAAAAAAAUCAGCACACUA